rnacentral:lncRNA from 1 species
AGAGAGAUAGAGAGUCUUACCUGCUCAGGACUUUCCUCAUCAGCAGUGGCACAAUUACAAAAGGAUAACAAAGGCAGCAGAAAAGGCAAGGAACUGGAAGAAGCUUGUUCAAAUGGACUGCCACUGCAUAAUUUCAGCCAGGGUUGAAUUACCGAGGAGUCGCAAUGUAACGUGUGAUUUGUGCUGACAGGAAGAGCUGCUCAGAGCUGGCAGAGCUUUUAUUGUGCACCGGCUGCAGGGUGAGGAUGGUGUAUGCUUGCAGGGUACAUGCCUGACUGCACAGGCUGCCUCCAACCACACUGAGCUGCAGGGCAAUGGGAGGCUGACACUGAGUGUCCCCACCGCCUCUCAUGACAACCGAUGGUCAGACUCGGAGCUCCUGCAAACAUCACCUCCCGCUUCAUACAGACACAAAGGCAAAAGGUAUUGCUGCCUUUUUCCCUCCACUCCUGGGGUGUGUUUGUCACUGUGCUUUCGGUUUUCCUUCAUGAUGAAUGUGAUGCUUGAGCACUUGGCUUCUGCAUACACCACUGACAGAGUCAAUGUUUAGAAAACAUUAUUAAAAAUAAGAGGGAAGAUGCCUCCACAUUGCCCUGGCACCAAGAUGAGGCCGGUGUUUGUGACAGUUGACUUCUGUGGUCAGGGACUGUCACCAACGAGUCUCCAUUAAUUGAAGUGCUCAACAUCUUUCCAUUGAAAGAAGUUCCCCUCUUCCAAAAAUAUUGUCAUUUUGAAUGAGAAUUAAUUCUCAGAAUUAUUUUUAAAAAUGUUUUGGCUUCUUCUGAAUUCCUCAGAAGCCUUUGCUCUCCCUUUACUUAAGGACAUCUACCUGAGCUGCCUUUGGAGGGCAGGGGCAAUCCAGAGAGCCCCAGGGAGCUAGCACUGUGCUCCCCAUGGCAAACAGCUAUGGGAGCAUCAGGAAAGCAUUAGGUUUUUAUGAUGUUAUAGUCUCUGAGAGAGUCCAAUACAAUGAAACUACUUGGUAUGAGACACAAGACACUUACAAAAAUAGUCUUGAAUUUUCAGUAUUUUUUCUCUGUUGAAAACAAUUUUUCCUUUAGUUAUGCAUCUGGAGCAUAUAGUGCUUAUUGAAUGAGGUUUUACAUUACAAAGGCAUCCCAGCCUGCCAAGCACCUAUUUCUGGUGUGACUAGUAAUGCCAAUGGCAAUGAAUCUCUGCCUUCCUCUUGUAGAUUUAAUGUCCUACAUUUAAAAGGCUUCUGGGUACCAUCCUUCAAUCCUAAAGUCUUUUCCCUUAGGCCAGCUUUUAUCUCAGCAUCUACUGGCUAUGACAAAAGCAAUACAGAAGGUAGAACCUAAGUCAGAUGGCUUUGCUUUUCAGUUCUUAGCAUUUAUCUUGUCAGUGGUUGUUGAUAAAACUGCUGAAGAAUGGCAGAAGGCAGGAGACAUAUAAAAAUGAUAGAGGCAAGACAAGAUUUGUUUCAGGCAGGCCCUGGUUUCUGACUGAAGGGCAGAAGUGAGUGAAGCAGUCUUAGCCCUUAUAUUGCAGAAAACAGGGCAAAAGCAUCUGUAGGCUCC